AGAGUUUGAUCCUGGCUCAGGACGAACGCUGGCGGCGUGCCUAAUACAUGCAAGUCGAGCGGACAGAAGGGAGCUUGCUCCCGGAUGUUAGCGGCGGACGGGUGAGUAACACGUGGGUAACCUGCCUGUAAGACUGGGAUAACUCCGGGAAACCGGAGCUAAUACCGGAUAGUUCCUUGGAUCGCAUGGUUCAAGGAUGAAAGACGGUUUCGGCUGUCACUUACAGAUGGACCCGCGGCGCAUUAGCUAGUUGGUGGGGUAAUGGCUCACCAAGGCGACGAUGCGUAGCCGACCUGAGAGGGUGAUCGGCCACACUGGGACUGAGACACGGCCCAGACUCCUACGGGAGGCAGCAGUAGGGAAUCUUCCGCAAUGGACGAAAGUCUGACGGAGCAACGCCGCGUGAGUGAUGAAGGUUUUCGGAUCGUAAAGCUCUGUUGUUAGGGAAGAACAAGUGCGAGAGUAACUGCUCGCACCUUGACGGUACCUAACCAGAAAGCCACGGCUAACUACGUGCCAGCAGCCGCGGUAAUACGUAGGUGGCAAGCGUUGUCCGGAAUUAUUGGGCGUAAAGGGCUCGCAGGCGGUUUCUUAAGUCUGAUGUGAAAGCCCCCGGCUCAACCGGGGAGGGUCAUUGGAAACUGGGAAACUUGAGUGCAGAAGAGGAGAGUGGAAUUCCACGUGUAGCGGUGAAAUGCGUAGAGAUGUGGAGGAACACCAGUGGCGAAGGCGACUCUCUGGUCUGUAACUGACGCUGAGGAGCGAAAGCGUGGGGAGCGAACAGGAUUAGAUACCCUGGUAGUCCACGCCGUAAACGAUGAGUGCUAAGUGUUAGGGGGUUUCCGCCCCUUAGUGCUGCAGCUAACGCAUUAAGCACUCCGCCUGGGGAGUACGGUCGCAAGACUGAAACUCAAAGGAAUUGACGGGGGCCCGCACAAGCGGUGGAGCAUGUGGUUUAAUUCGAAGCAACGCGAAGAACCUUACCAGGUCUUGACAUCCUCUGACAACCCUAGAGAUAGGGCUUUCCCUUCGGGGACAGAGUGACAGGUGGUGCAUGGUUGUCGUCAGCUCGUGUCGUGAGAUGUUGGGUUAAGUCCCGCAACGAGCGCAACCCUUGAUCUUAGUUGCCAGCAUUCAGUUGGGCACUCUAAGGUGACUGCCGGUGACAAACCGGAGGAAGGUGGGGAUGACGUCAAAUCAUCAUGCCCCUUAUGACCUGGGCUACACACGUGCUACAAUGGACAGAACAAAGGGCUGCAAGACCGCAAGGUUUAGCCAAUCCCAUAAAUCUGUUCUCAGUUCGGAUCGCAGUCUGCAACUCGACUGCGUGAAGCUGGAAUCGCUAGUAAUCGCGGAUCAGCAUGCCGCGGUGAAUACGUUCCCGGGCCUUGUACACACCGCCCGUCACACCACGAGAGUUUGCAACACCCGAAGUCGGUGAGGUAACCUUUAUGGAGCCAGCCGCCGAAGGUGGGGCAGAUGAUUGGGGUGAAGUCGUAACAAGGUAGCCGU
rnacentral:rRNA from 1 species